UAGUACAGUACUGUAAGCCGGAAUGAAUUGACUCGUCGAUUGAUUCGCCGACUUAAACGUCAGCAAUGAAAAGCCACAAGUUCGCGAAAAAGUGUCUCCAAAUGUUCUCCAAUCGAUCGGCAAAAAAAAAACUCCCCGGUAUCGCCAACUGCAUGUAAUUCAGUGAGUGUACCAGGAGUGAUAGUGUGUGGGUAUUCGGUCAGACGGGGUGGUGGGAGUUGGCAUGAAAACGAGACGUGGGACAGAGAUGGUGAUACUGACGAGAGCAAGGAUGCCGAAGUAGCCGCGUGUUCGUGUACAUGCGUGUCGUGCGCACUGUUUUUUCUCGGACGUGUGUUCGCAUUAAUCGCGUGUUAAAAAAAAAAAAUGGUCGAACGAGGAGAGGAGGAGAGGUUCGAGGAAAAAAAGCAAUUAUCUCCAUUUCCCAUCGGUGGAAACUGUCCCCAGGGAUUGCCCGACACUGGUCCAUGUCUGGACCGUGUCGCAAAAUCGUAUCCAAAAUUGUCCACCGGGAGAAGCUGCAGGUGACUUUUGAUUUCCAAAAUCGUCAGAUGAGGGUCGGUUCCAGCGCCCGGACAAAAAAAAACAUGGCCGAAGCGGUGUAUAGGUGAGAUCUGGAGACAAUUGAUUUGAUGAUUUUUCCCACUUCAUUUGAUGAUCCCCCGUGGCCUCUCUGGAGACACUGAUCCAUAUUCCUCGUCCUGGGUUUGCUCUUGGUGAUGGCUGUUGCUGAGCGAGACUCAACAGCCGGAAAUAUGGCAAAGCACCCACUUUGGCGUUGGCAAUUCCUGGUAUUCGGGGAUUUUCAUGAAGUAUUUUCACAUGUUCAGUGAUGAAGAGAGUGUCCCAGUGUUCAGUGGUACAUCGGCACGCCACUGGAUAAUGAGGGCCAACCGGUGGUGUGUGGGACAGUGAUGGAGGUGAAUAAAAAAAAAAAUGAGGAGGAAGGAAAAGAUAUGGAAGCCAGUCGUACGCGCAAGAGGGCAGUGAUCUCUCGGGGAGCGGCGACCUGACACCAACGAGCGAUAGCUAUAGGGAUACAUAUCCCACUCUCGGGGGCCGCACCGCAGACUCCACGAUGCUCCGACUCGGAUCGAAUCGAGGAUUCCAGGAGACGGCUACCCCUACUUUCCUCUUUUUUACGGGCUUUUUUUAGUUUCAAGGAACUCUGGAGAGAGCUUGACAAUCGGCAGGCCGACUCUGUGCCGGGAUACGUGAAGGUGAGAGAGAGUGAGCGCCGUCUCCGGGGGGUCUCCCGUUGAACCUGAAUUCACACCACCUGGCCCGGACUCUCCUAUCUCCCCUCCUCGAAGACAAAAACCCAGUGGAAAAAAAAAAAUCCAUCCGAGAGCGACUGAAAUCCCGAAAGAACCUGAAAAGCGAAUGAACAGAGAGCACCAGAUCCGAGCGAGACGAGGGCCCACACAUAUAAUCCGGUCGUCAAUCGGCGGACUGGCAUCGCCAGAGUGCACCUCCCCGGAGGCAGUACGGAUGACAGGGACGAUGACAAGGCGAUAAAAUCGCAAGACAUAAAUACUAUUAAUUCAUCGUAAAGGAGAGACACAUCAGGAAGAGUGGAAUGUACCUCAGAUUGAGCCUCUGACAAUCGAUAAAUUGUUUGAUUAAAUUCAUUGACGUCCGGCAGCUUUACUUGAUGACACUAACCCGUAGAUCCGAACUUGUGAGCUAUUUUAUAUGCAUACCGCAAGCUCCUUUCUACCGGUACAUGUAGUCAGGCCGUCGUUUGUGACAUAUCGUCCCAACAGCACUGAUAUUACAUAUUCAAGCCCGAGACAUUCGGAUCAUCGGGAGCAGCAAGAUCAUCACUGAAGAGCUGAGUCUAUCACAAAAACGUCAAUUGGUCAAUGAAAAAAAUUUUUUUCUAAUUAUUCUGGCCCUCCGACGCCUCAGAAUCGCCCACAAUCAGGUGAUCGAACAGAUCGAUCAGUCAUUCAAUCAACUCCGCCAUUUGUUUCGGUUUUUUUAAGGACAAAAAUCGAGAGAUAACUGCGGCGAUGCCUGGGUGAGGUAGUAGGUUGUAUAGUAGGGAAAUUGCGAUAAUGUUUCAUUGCAGAUAUGAAAUCCACUGUACAACUUGCUAACUUUCCCGGUCGUCGGCGCCCCAACGUUGGAUACCAAAGCCCUCCCCCACUUUCCAUGUGUCGGUGAAUUUUUUUUUCCUGAGGGGGGGGGGGGGAAGGGGAGGGCCAACAGGCAUUGGCUGUCGUCCUUCUGUUAUUUUUUUUAUUCAGAGGUGGAGGAGAAAUGAAGAAGAAAGUGCUGGGUGAGAUGAACCGGUGAUGACGGCGGCGAGGGGGAGGGGUGGGCAAGUGAGAGGGAAGAAAGUUGAGGAUUUUUUUUUUUGCAUGAGAACGAAAAUGGGGAAUUGGUUUGGACAGAGGGAUUUGCGAAGGGCAAUGGCGGUCAGGCGACUUAGAAAAAAAACAUAAGUUUUGAGAAAAAAAAAACACUUUUUUUUUGUCUUGUUUUUGAAAUAAUGCCUGCACCGCUUCGCCGGUUCCCUGAGACCCUAACUUGUGACGUCGCGUCCGAUAUCUCACAGGCUAGAUUCUCUGGUAUUGGCGAUGAGUUCUGCCUUUUUUGAUGAACGAGGAUGAGAGGGGGAAAUUAAUAAUUAGAGGGUGGGAGGGCAUUUGGAGUUCAGUUCCGGUUCUCAAGAACUGUCUUGAGUUCCUUGACUUUGAGUAAUCUAUUGGCAUAUGUUAUGGAAGAUGUAAUGAACUUGGAUUGAUUUUUUGUGAAUCAAUGUGCGAAUGGAAUAAGGAAAAAUGGAAAAUAAAGGUUCGUUGGCAAAAUAAGAGAGCAAUUUGUUGAGAAAAUUGUUAUUUAUCCAAGUCCUUAUUCUAUUUGACAGUUCUUAUGUACAAGAGAGGGAAAGAUCCAGUGUAACAUAUAAACGAGUGAAAAUAUUGUGAUUAUACAAUAUCUAUUCUUAACUUGUAAACACUUUCAAGUCGCAGAUGUAUUACAAUGCUAUAAAAACAUAGAAAUGCAAUGGGUGCUGCACACCUUCGAAUUGUUGAGCAGGUAACUGAGUUCGUGAUGCUCUCAUUUAUAUAAUUAAAAUAUCCAAUCAAAAAUUAGAAUUUAUUUCAUUCGUAAUUUUAAAAAUAAAUGUUUAAGUAAAAAUAUCUUUUCACA